rnacentral:rRNA from 1 species
UCCUGUACUAUGAUAUGACAGAACUGUGGGGACACGUGCAGAGAGCGGAAGCCGGGAAUGGGAUCCCGGUGCAAGCGAGGUACCAGAUGCGUUGGAAAAACCGCGCAUCAAUGGGAAGACGUGACGCGGAGUGAAGUUUAGUAAUGAAGUCCGUGAGCUGUGCGUCAAGAAAAGCCGCUAUUGUUCAUACCAUACCCGUACCGUAAACCGACACAGGUGGAUGAGGAGAGAAUCCUAAGGCCGGCGGAAGAAGCAUUGUCAAGGAACUCGGCAAAAUGACCCCGUAACUUCGGGAGAAGGGGUGCUACUGAGAAGUGGCCGCAGAGAAUAGGCUCAAGCAACUGUUUAGCAAAAACACAGGUCUAUGCGAAACCGUAAGGUGAGGUAUAUGGGCUGACGCCUGCCCGGUGCUGGAAGGUUAAGAGGAGAGGUUAGCGCAAGCGAAGCUUUGAAUUUAAGCCCCAGUAAACGGCGGCCGUAACAAUAACGGUCCUAAGGUAGCGAAAUUCCUUGUCGGGUAAGUUCCGACCCGCACGAAAGGCGUAAUGAUUUGAGCGCUGUCUCGACAAUGCAUCCGGUGAAAUUGAAGUACCAGUGAAGAUGCUGGUUACCUGCGCCAGGACGGAAAGACCCCAUGGAGCUUUACUCCAGUUUGGUACUGGGAUCCGGUACUGCAUGUACAGGAUAGGUGGGAGGCUAAGAAAUGGUAACGCCAGUUGCCAUGGAGCCGCUGUUGGGAUACCACCCUUGCAGUAUUGGGUUUCUAACCAGCCGCCGUGACCCGGCGGUGGGACAAUGCCAGACGGGGAGUUUGACUGGGGCGGUCGCCUCCGAAAGGGUAUCGGAGGCGCCCAAAGUUUCCCUCAGGAUGGACGGAAACCAUCCAAAGAGUGCAAAGGCAGAAGGGAGCUUGACUGCGACACCGACGGGUGGAGCAGGUACGAAAGUAGGGCUUAGUGAUCCGGUGGUAUUAAGUGGGAAUGCCAUCGCUCAACGGAUAAAAGCUACCCUGGGAUAACAGGCUUAUCACUCCCAAGAGUUCACAUCGACGGAGUGGUUUGGCACCUCGAUGUCGGCUCAUCGCAUCCUGGGGCUGUAGUAGGUCCCAAGGGUUGGGCUGUUCGCCCAUUAAAGCGGUACGCGAGCUGGGUUCAGAACGUCGUGAGACAGUUCGGUCCCUAUCCGGCGUGGGCGUAGGAUAUCUGAGAGGAGCUGUCCUUAGUACGAGAGGACCGGGAUGGACGGGCCGCUGGUGCACCGGUUAGACUGCCAAGUCUAUAGCCGGGUAGCCAAGCCCGGAAGGGAUAAACGCUGAAGGCAUCUAAGCGUGAAGCCCCCCUCAAGAUGAGAUAUCCCAUCCGAAAGGAGUAAACCCCCUUGAAGACGACGAGGUUGAUAGGGCAGAGGUGGAAGUGUGGUAACACAUGGAGCUGACUGCUACUAAUAGGGUGAGGGCUUGACC